UACGGAGGGUGCAAGCGUUAAUCGGAAUUACUGGGCGUAAAGCGCGCGUAGGUGGUUUGAUAAGCGAGAUGUGAAAGCCCCGGGCUUAACCUGGGAACGGCAUUUCGAACUGUCAGGCUAGAGUAUGGUAGAGGAGUGUGGAAUUUCCUGUGUAGCGGUGAAAUGCGUAGAUAUAGGAAGGAACACCAGUCGGCGAAGGCGGAUACUCUGGGACCAAUACUGACACCGGAGGUGCGAAAAGCGGUGGGGAGCAAACAGGAUUAGAUACCCCGGGUAGUCC
rnacentral:rRNA from 1 species